AGAGUUUGAUCCUGGCUCAGGACGAACGCUGGCGGUGCGCUUAACACAUGCAAGUCGAGCGAGAACCGAAGCCUUCGGGCCUUGGGGAAAGCGGCGAACGGGUGAGUAACACGUGGGUAACCCACCCUUGGUACCGGGAUAGCCCGAGGAAACUCGGAUUAAUACCGGAUGGCCCAACAGCUCUUCGGGGCGGUUGGAAAAGGUAGCUUCGGCCUCCGACCAAGGACGGGCCCGCGGCGGAUUAGCUUGUUGGUGAGGUAACGGCUCACCAAGGCUUCGAUCCGUAGCUGGUCUGAGAGGACGAUCAGCCACACUGGGACUGAGACACGGCCCAGACUCCUACGGGAGGCAGCAGUGGGGAAUCUUGCGCAAUGGGCGAAAGCCUGACGCAGCGACGCCGCGUGGGGGAAGAAGGCUUUCGGGUUGUAAACCCCUUUCAGGAAGGACGAAGCCACUCGGGUUAAUAGCCCAGAGGGUGACGGUACUUCCAGAAGAAGCCCCGGCUAACUACGUGCCAGCCGCCGCGGUAAUAC
rnacentral:rRNA from 1 species